rnacentral:lncRNA from 1 species
UUGGUCAGAGAGAAAAUGAUUUGAAUAUUUUUACUAUUUCUUUCCUUUUCUUCCAAUGUCAUUAUCUGGGUCCAUAUCUACAUACGUAUCCACAACGGAAAUUGAUACUUUUUUACAUUUUAAUACAUAAAGUUACCAAAAUUUACAUUCUCUACUAAAUUUUUACAUUUUCCCCCACUAAAUUAUUAACUUUAUAAAUCACCACCAUUGACCAAAUACAAGGUUAAUCUUAUCAAUCAACUCUCAUAAUUUAUUAACUCACCCUCCCUAUCACAAAUUCACAAUCACACACUAAUAUUUUACUCUUAACAAAGCUCACACGCAAAGCAAUCACCAUUGUAUCAAUCUAAGCAAGGACUUAAAAAGAAAAUGUCAUCAAGCCGAUCAUUACUUGGAGAAUUACCACCAUACACCAACAGCCCAUUUUCCCCAUUCAACCGGCCCGACGA